AGAGGUGAAGAAUUUCAUAUUCGUUUCAGUUACAUUGAAGAGAACCAUCAUGUUGGCACCUUUA
rnacentral:tRNA from 1 species